GUGUCAGCAGCCGCGGUAAGACGAACCGAGCGAACGUUGUUCGGAAUCACUGGGCUUAAAGGGCGCGUAGGCGGCUUGCCAAGUCAGGGGUGAAAUCUUUCGGCUCAACCGGAAAAGUGCCUUUGAUACUGGCAGGCUCGAGCGAGGUAGGGGCAUGCGGAACUUCCGGUGGAGCGGUGAAAUGUGUUGAUAUCGGAAGGAACACCGAUGGCGAAAGCAGCGUGCUGGACCUCUUCUGACGCUGAGGCGCGAAAGCUAGGGUAGCGAACGGGAUUAGAUACCCCGGUAGUCC
rnacentral:rRNA from 1 species